rnacentral:rRNA from 1 species
GUAGGGAAUAUUGGGCAAUGGAAGGAAUUCUGACCCAGCCAUGCCGCGUGCAGGAAUACAGUCCUAUGGACUUUAAACUGCUUUUAUUAUAGAGUAACCUGGGGGACGUGUCCCCCACUGCAAGUAUAUAAUGAAUAAGCAUCGGCUAACUCCGUUCCAGCAGCCGCGGUAAUACGGGGGAUGCAAGCGUUAUCCGGAUUUAUUGGGUUUAAAGGGUGCGCAGGCUGAUCGGUAAGUCAUGGGUGAAAAGUCACUGCUUAACAGUGAUCGUGCCUAUGAUACUGCCGGACUAGAGUUUAAGAGGUGUAACUGGAAUGUGAUGUGUAGCGGUGAAAUGCUUAGAUAUGUCACAGAACGCCAAUCGUGAAGACAGGUUACAAACUUAAUACUGACGCUCAUGCACGAAAGCGUGGGGAUCAAACAGGAUUAGAAACCCCGGUAGUCC